CGAAGAGUCCCUGCCAUAUGUUUUCUCUGUGUUUUUGUCGUCAAAUAUUAAAGCUGUGAGAACUUCGAAUGCGUAUCAUAAUUACAGCUAACCAUAUAAAUGGAAUAAUCAGGAUAACACACAUACCUGACUGAGUUAAAUUUUAUUUUCAGUGUCAAUCGCCAGACUGGAGGACACGGAGAAUUAUUAUGUUUUCGAAGCAGCGUCGUACAACGAUUGAGUGGUUACCGGUCUCCAGUUGAACAUACCAAGAGGUGCACAGAGAUAUACUGCCAAUCACGUCGCUGAAGGCCAUGGUGAAUUCACAUAUUUUCGAGGCAACGGCGUGCACCGCUCGCCAGUUGAGCAUACCAAAAAG